rnacentral:rRNA from 1 species
GAUGAACGCUGGCGGCGUGCCUAAUACAUGCAAGUCGAGCGAACAGACGAGGAGCUUGCUCCUCUGACGUUAGCGGCGGACGGGUGAGUAACACGUGGAUAACCUACCUAUAAGACUGGGAUAACUUCGGGAAACCGGAGCUAAUACCGGAUAAUAUAUUGAACCGCAUGGUUCAAUAGUGAAAGACGGUUUUGCUGUCACUUAUAGAUGGAUCCGCGCCGCAUUAGCUAGUUGGUAAGGUAACGGCUUACCAAGGCAACGAUGCGUAGCCGACCUGAGAGGGUGAUCGGCCACACGGGAACUGAGACCCGGUCCAGACUCCUACGGGAGGCAGCAGUAGGGAAUCUUCCGCAAGGGGCGAAAGCCUGACGGAGCAACGCCGCGUGAGUGAUGAAGGUCUUCGGAUCGUAAAACUCUGUUAUUAGGGAAGAACAAAUGUGUAAGUAACUAUGCACGUCUUGACGGUACCUAAUCAGAAAGCCACGGCUAACUACGUG